UGGGGAAUAUUGCACAAUGGGCGCAAGCCUGAUGCAGCCAUGCCGCGUGUAUGAAGAAGGCCUUCGGGUUGUAAAGUACUUUCAGCGGGGAGGAAGGUGUUGAGGCUAAUAACCUCAGCAAUUGACGUUACCCGCAGAAGAAGCACCGGCUAACUCCGUGCCAGCAGCCGCGGUAAUACGGAGGGUGCAAGCGUUAAUCGGAAUUACUGGGCGUAAAGCGCACGCAGGCGGUCUGUCAAGUCGGAUGUGAAAUCCCCGGGCUCAACCUGGGAACUGCAUUCGAAACUGGCAGGCUAGAGUCUUGUAGAGGGGGGUAGAAUUCCAG
rnacentral:rRNA from 1 species